AGUGAACGCUGGCGGUAGGCCUAACACAUGCAAGUCGAACGGCAGCACAGUAAGAGCUUGCUCUUACGGGUGGCGGGUGGCGGACGGGUGAGGAAUACAUCGGAAUCUACUUUUUCGUGGGGGAUAACGUAGGGAAACUUACGCUAAUACCGCAUACGACCUACGGGUGAAAGCAGGGGAUCUUCGGACCUUGCGCUAUUGAAUGAGCCGAUGUCGGAUUAGCUAGUUGGCGGGGUAAAGGCCCACCAAGGCGACGAUCCGUAGCUGGUCUGAGAGGAUGAUCAGCCACACUGGCACUGAGACACGGUCCAGACUCCUACGGGAGGCAGCAGCGGGGAAUAUUGGACAAUGGGCGAAAGCCUGAUCCAGCCAUACCGCGUGGGUGAAGAAGGCCUUCGGGUUGUAAAGCCAUUUUGUUGGGAAAGAAAAGCAGCAGGUUAAUACCCCGCUGUUAUGACGGUACCCAAAGAAUAAGCAACGGCUAACUUCGUG
rnacentral:rRNA from 1 species